AGAGACGGCUGUACUUGCUUUGGACAAUGCUUACAAUACUCCAAACUUCAGAGUUCAAGGUCACUUAUGCAAGACCAACUUGACUUCCUGCACAGCAUUCAGAGGCUUUGGUGGCCCACAGGCUGUCAUUAUGGCAGAAAACUGGGUCAGCCAUGUAGCAGAUGUUCUUCAUAAGUCUCCAGAAGAGGUCAGGGAGAAAAACUUUUAUAAAGAAGGGGAGACUAUCCCAUGUGGCCAGGUCGUUACACAAUGCAAUAUACUUAAGUGUUGGCAAGAAGUGUAUAAAGAACAGUGAUUACUACAGAAGGAAAGAUGCUGUGA
rnacentral:sRNA from 1 species